UACGUAGGCAGCAAGCGUUGUUCGGAGUUACUGGGCGUAAAGGGUGCGUAGGCGGCCCAUUAAGUUUGUCGUGAAAUCUCCCGGCUCAACUGGGAGGGUGCGGCGGAUACUGAUGGGCUCGAGUGCGGGAGAGGAGAGUGGAAUUCCUGGUGUAGCGGUGAAAUGCGUAGAUAUCAGGAGGAACACCGGCGGUGUAGACGGCUCUCUGGACCGCAACUGACGCUGAGGCACGAAAGCGUGGGUAGCAAACAGGAUUAGAAACCCCCGUAGUCC
rnacentral:rRNA from 1 species